rnacentral:rRNA from 1 species
GAUGAACGCUGGCGGCGUGCCUAAUACAUGCAAGUCGAGCGAAUAGACGAGGAGCUUGCUCCUCUUACGUUAGCGGCGGACGGGUGAGUAACACGUGGAUAACCUACCUUUAAGCAUGGGAUAACUUUGGGAAACCGGAGCUAAUACCGGAUAAUAUAUUGAACCGCAUGGUUCAAUAGUGAAGGAUGGAUUUGCUGUCCCUAAUAGAUGUAUCCGCGCCGCAUUAGCUAGUUGGUAAGGUAACGGCUUACCAAGGCAACGAUGCGUAGCCGACCUGAGAGGGUGAUCGGCCACACUGGAACUGAGACACGGUCCAGACUCCUACGGGAGGCAGCAGUAGGGAAUCUUCGGCAAUGGGCGAAAGCUUGACGGAGCAACGCCGCGUGAGUGAUGAAGGUCUUCGGAUCGUAAAACUCUGUUAUUAGGGAAGAAGAAAUGUAUAAGUAAAUAUGCACGUCUUGACGGUACCUAAUCAGAAAGCCACGGCUAACUACGUG